AUUGCAAUAGUUCAGCUAGUACAACAGAGGACUGAUGUAGUUACUGUAAAAAUUGACAUUCUUAGGUUGGUGGUUAAAAUCCAUCUUGUGAGA
rnacentral:tRNA from 1 species